CCAACCUUUUUACCCCAGCACCUGACAUCUCAUCACCACAGUGAUUCACCUGCAGAGAGGCUGUACCGUUGGUUGAUCUCAAAAUGUCAGCCAGCCUGAAAUGCAGGAAUUUCCAUGUAUGUGUGUGCAUUCCUUAUCAGUGUAGAAUCUUAAUUAAUUAAUACAAUGCAGAAAGUCUCACUAGGACCCAUUCCAUGGAGAAGAUCAUUCUGGAGGUGGCACCAGACUGCUUAACAAUGUAGAAGCAAGCAGCAGAAUAGGAAGGAGACCAGGAGGCAACACUUUCUGAGGGCCUUGCUUCAUGUCUGAAGCCGCCAAUGAACAAAGCUCUAUUUUAUCAACUUGGAAGUGAAAUCUCAGAAAGAUCAAGUGUGUGUCAGAGAGCAAACCAGCCCUUCGUUUUCUUAGAAGUACUCUCGGAGCCUGCACGGUUCUAACAUGAGCCUCCUUGUGCGGUACGUUACGAAAUGCUGUCGGAACAAUGACUCCUCGAGAAGUCCAGUGAACUGGCAGAAACCCCCAACCAAAAAGAUGAUCAACUCAGAUACUGCUGCAGUGCAAAGGGAUAGAGAAGGAGAAAGUGAACCUGCCAAGCUUCGACGGGCCUUUUGACAAGCUAUGAAACCUCUAGGAACCAUAUGGAAUACCUACAGUGCUUUGUGGACAUCACGAUUUCUUUUUUCAGUUACCCCCAGUUUGCCCUCUGGAAUCUCAUAAUUGGAUGUUUAAUCAGGGACUUGUCAAAAGAAAAUCUAGAGAACUGACUCAUCUACAUAAAGGUGCUAUAAAACAGCCAAUUCAAAGAAAUAAGAUAAGAAAUGGUCUUAUGUGUUCAAACAAUAAUUAUACACUUUCCUCAAUUAUUUUUGAAUCAAUAGCUUUCCUGUAUUUUUAUAAUAGAUGGUCAUAUCUGGUCUGUGGUAAACCAUGGUAUUAGGAUACAGGGUCAUUGAAAUUAUCUUCCUGUUUUUCUAUGCAAUAUUAGUCAUUCUUGAUCUUUUCUUUUUAAUUUGAA